UACCACGCAGAGAAGUUGUGUUACAUGACCUCAUUUAAUUGUUUUUUAGAACCCCAGGAGAGAUGUCUUACAGAAGCAGAUCAGAUAAUGCUUUUUAAAUUGAUUAGGAAACAGAAAAGAAAAUUUAAAAAACAGGUUAGGAAACAGUCUUGUGGAAGUUAAAGGACUUCCUUAGAGACAUUUCCCCGCUAGUGAUCUCCUCUUCUUAACCAUUUUUCAUGGGCUAGUCUCCAGUGAUGAAACCAAGACGCUAACUUUCUGCUGUUGAAAUGUGUUUCCCUUCUUUAUCGGCCACUUGUGAUAGAAGAAGUGGGUUGUAUGUAAAGUUCUAUUGUAGGAUAAUCUCAUCGAUUCGGAACAAGGCAUGGAGGAUUGUCAAUCUUGAUUUUGGAGAUAGUUACUAGAUCUGAUGAAGUGGAGAAGAAGCCAAGACAGAAGGCUAUAUUGCACUCUCCUUCCUGUCCUGUUGGUUUUUGACAUGUGCCCUUUGGGCCCAUGGGUGUCAGAUGCCGGAGACGAUUGCUGUUCGCCUGCCCCCAACUCAAGUGGCUUCGCUGGGUGUGUGAGCCUUCCACACAGUCCUGGGUGAUGUAAGGGAUUUAGGCUUGAUCAAUUAUACCCUUUUCAAGCUAACACUAGAAAAAUGAGAAAUUGAUUUUUUUUUCUGACGAAACAAUAUUUUAGCAAUUCGGGAUAUAAAAAUAGGAUUUGACCUCUCGUAUCAAGUUAGCCAUCACCGUGAUGAUUAGAACCUGCAAUUAUGCCAUAUUUGUAUGUCACAACCUAAUGUGACAAGCUUGUCAGAUUUGUUCAGGGAGAGGAUACUCUGUCCUCUGUAUGAUGUAGCCUCCAGCUGUGGCUGCUUUGUGGAGUGGGGGUGGGGGACAAGGGCCCGAAGCUUCCAUCUUGAUCAGCAAACCUGCUAGCGUGAGAAUCCUCAGACUCGGGCAUCUGAUUUGAGCUAUCCUGUUCCAUCAAUAGGCAAAGCCUAUAUUGAAGACUCUCCCUUCAAGUUUAAACUUUUAGAGUUUUAAACUGGCAUUUUGUGAUUAUAAGCACACUCUCUUUAAAAGAUACCUUUUCACAAUAAGCAAAGAGAAGGACGCGCCCGUGGCAGACAUUCUAUCAGCUCAACUGAUGGGGCUACAUGGCAUUUGGAAGUUGGAGUGAGGAUAUGAUGUGUCCUUAACAGCUGGAACAUUUCUUGGGCUUAAUUUUUAAUAAACUUGGUCUCAGAAAAACA
rnacentral:lncRNA from 1 species